UACGAAGGGGGCUAGCGUUGUUCGGAAUCACUGGGCGUAAAGCGCACGCAGGCGGAUCGUUAAGUCAGGGGUGAAAUCCUGGAGCUCAACUCCAGAACUGCCUUUGAUACUGAAGAUCUUGAGUCCGGGAGAGGUGAGUGGAACUGCGAGUGUAGAGGUGAAAUUCGUAGAUAUUCGCAAGAACACCAGUGGCGAAGGCGGCUCACUGGCCCGGUACUGACGCUGAGGCACGAAAGCGUGGGGAGCAAACAGG
rnacentral:rRNA from 1 species